GCAAACACAAGACAAAAUUGUGGAGCAGACUGUAGUUCUUCGAUGUCUACCAGUGCUGCUGCAAGAAGAGGACACAGAGCUGUUCUACACCUGCAAGGCACCAUGGAGUGACACAGUCAGAAGUGAAGUACAUCUCCUCCCAGCCCCGAGAGACAAGAGAGCCUGAUGGGUGAUAAAAUACAUCAAAACCACUGAGUUGAAAAACUAUCAACUACACCCUUGCUUGAAGCUGACGUGUCUAAAAGCACAUGCAUGACUGAGGCAUAGUAAUAAUAUUUCAAUGAAAGAUGCGCGGCCUGAGUAAAGGGCACACUGAAUUUACCAACCAAUAAGCUGUAGAAGAGUUGCAUUACGGAUGAGGAAUGAAUAAAAUAAAAUAAGAAAAGAGAUUCUCACCCGAA